UACGUAGGGGGCAAGCGUUGUCCGGAAUCACUGGGCGUAAAGCGCACGUAGGCGGCUUUCUAAGUCAGGGGUGAAAUCCUGGAGCUCAACUCCAGAACUGCCUUUGAUACUGGAGAGCUUGAGUCCGGAAGAGGUGAGUGGAACUCCGAGUGUAGAGGUGAAAUUCGUAGAUAUUCGCAAGAACACCAGUGGCGAAGGCGGCUCACUGGCCCGAUACUGACGCUGAGGCACGAAAAGCGUGGGGGAGCAAACAGG
rnacentral:rRNA from 1 species